AGAUUGAACGCUGGCGGCAUGCCUAACACAUGCAAGUCGAACGGGAGUAGCAAUACUCUAGUGGCGGACGGGUGAGGAAUACGUAGGAAUUUGCCCUUAAGUGGGGGAUAACCCGGGGAAACCCGGAUUAAUACCGCAUGACCUCGAAAGAGCAAAGUGGGGGAUCGCAAGACCUCACGCUUUUGGAGAAGCCUACGUCGGAUUAGCUAGUUGGUGAGGUAAUGGCUCACCAAGGCGACGAUCCGUAACUGGUCUGAGAGGAUGAUCAGUCACACCGGAACUGAGACACGGUCCGGACUCCUACGGGAGGCAGCAGGUGGGGAAUAUUGGACAAGUGGGCGCAAGCCUGAUCCAGCAAUGCCGCGUGUGUAGAAGAAGGCCGUUCGGGUUGUAAAGCUAACGUUUUAAGGUUAGGAAACGAAAAACGUCGACUACUAAACAC
rnacentral:rRNA from 1 species